CCCCAAUCGCCCCGUCGUUGUGCCCCUCCUCUCUCUCUCUCUCUCUCGCACACCCCCACCCCGCCGCCGCCUCCGCCUCCGUACCCCUACGCCGUGCCAUCGCGCCUCCACCACUCGUCGCGCCCUCCACACGCCGCCGCAUCAGCGCACGCGUCUUCCCCCUCUCUCGGUCGCUCCCUCCGCAUCUCCCCUCCUCAACCCCUCGAUCCACGUCGCCGCAGCCCCCUCCCUCGGUCGCUCCCUCCGCUUUCCUCCCCCGCAUCGCUCGCGCUCGCUAUCCAACCGCCGACGCCACUCCUCCCACCUCUUCGCCGCGCCCCGCCACGCCUCCACCGCCGGCGCCCCCAUCGCCACGCUGCGCUACUCCGCGGUGCUCGGGAUUGAGGCCGCCGUGCUCGUUGGCACAGCUCGGGACUCCACCUCGUCGCCGAUCCCGCCCUCUUCCACUGGAGCUCCCUCGCUAGCCCGAUGCAACUACAUAAAUGCAAAUAAAUGCAAGCUGCAGGGAAAUCACUUAGGUUUUAAUCCUCGCUGAGCCAUAUCAUAUAUGAACUACGCCUGCCGCCGCUGCUCCGUCUCCGCCCUUCGUGCCGCUCGGGAGGAGUUGCGACGGGGUCGAGCCCCUCAUCGCCGACUACCCUUCUCCGCUCGCAGCCACCGUCGUAGCGUUUAAGUCUCUGCAUAUGCUGAAUCUGAAAGUACCAGCCUGCUCUUUUCUGCUCGUUGGGGAUCAAUAGGAAAUGAAUUUCAGACCGAUACUAGCCUGCUGUUAUAAGUCUCUGCAUAUGCUGAAUCUGAAAGUACCACUUAUAGUCAUUAUAGAACCAAACAGGUUGGAGCUUGCAUGCUCAGUUGCGAACAGAUGUAUUUAGGUGCCAGUCUCUUCGGUUUGCCCAUGGCUGCGAUGCACAAUAGCAGUUGCGAACAGAGUUUUCCUUCCUCGUAUACCUCUAUGUCCGUCUGAUGAUGAUAUGUUCCCGUUUCGCUUCAAGAGGAAGCAAUUUCCGGUUAGAUUGAGCUUUGCAUUGACCAUCAAUAAGGCGCAGAGUCAAACAAUUCCAAAUGCAGGCGUCUACUUACCGGAGCCUGUCUUCUCUCAUGGUCAAUUAUACGUCGCGUUGUCUAGAGCAACCUCUAGAACAAACAUAAAAAUACUAUCGAUGCCGGUAGAAGACAAGAAACAAAAGAAAAAGUCUAAGUGUACUGGCGUGAAGGACAAUGAGAAGAAAGGAAAGGAAUUGUCUAAACAGGCUGCAACAUACACAAAAAAUAUUGUGUAUAGAGAGGUCCUCACAGAUUAGAAAAGUAGUAAACAUUACUUUCGGUGGGAUUUUGGCAAGGCCUAUAUACACCAUUACAGGAUGCUAGCGGACAAGUUAUCCAGUGCCUGAACUCUGCUUUAUCUAACCUGGUGGCUGACAUUGACAACAAAUCUAUUUACAACACUCUAUUAUUAGUCUAUUACCUGACUCUGGAAAACAACCAUCAACUGCAAAACCAUUUGAUUCACAUCCCUUCACCUGAUCCCACCUGGUUUCUUGCUUAGGUAGCUUCAUGACUAUGACAAAGGAAAUUUGGAUGCAGGCAUGUCACAAACUGAUUUCAUCAUUAUGGAAUCUGCAGAAAUUCCAGGCUUUGGUGGUACUAGCUGGACUGACCAGGAGACCUUGCUUCUUUUGGAAGCUUUAGUAAUUUUGCAAGCAAAAUGGGGUGACAUUGCAGAGCAUGUUGAUACAAAAACCAAAGCACAAUGCAUGCUGCACUGAGCAAGAGCGUUCUAUUUGUUCA